rnacentral:rRNA from 1 species
CUGAUGGAUGGACCCGCGGUGCAUUAGCUAGUUGGUGAGGUAACGGCUCACCAAGGCCACGAUGCAUAGCCGACCUGAGAGGGUGAUCGGCCACAUUGGGACUGAGACACGGCCCAAACUCCUACGGGAGGCAGCAGUAGGGAAUCUUCGGCAAUGGACGAAAGUCUGACCGAGCAACGCCGCGUGAGUGAAGAAGGUUUUCGGAUCGUAAAACUCUGUUGUUAGAGAAGAACAAGGAUGAGAGUAACUGUUCAUCCCUUGACGGUAUCUAACCAGAAAGCCACGGCUAACUACGUGCCAGCAGCCGCGGUAAUACGUAGGUGGCAAGCGUUGUCCGGAUUUAUUGGGCGUAAAGCGAGCGCAGGCGGUUUCUUAAGUCUGAUGUGAAAGCCCCCGGCUCAACCGGGGAGGGUCAUUGGAAACUGGGAGACUUGAGUGCAGAAGAGGAGAGUGGAAUUCCAUGUGUAGCGGUGAAAUGCGUAGAUAUAUGGAGGAACACCAGUGGCGAAGGCGGCUCUCUGGUCUGUAACUGACGCUGAGGCUCGAAAGCGUGGGGAGCAAACAGGAUUAGAUACCCUGGUAGUCCACGCCGUAAACGAUGAGUGCUAAGUGUUGGAGGGUUUCCGCCCUUCAGUGCUGCAGCUAACGCAUUAAGCACUCCGCCUGGGGAGUACGACCGCAAGGUUGAAACUCAAAGGAAUUGACGGGGGCCCGCACAAGCGGUGGAGCAUGUGGUUUAAUUCGAAGCAACGCGAAGAACCUUACCAGGUCUUGACAUCCUUUGACCACUCUAGAGAUAGAGCUUCCCCUUCGGGGGCAAAGUGACAGGUGGUGCAUGGUUGUCGUCAGCUCGUGUCGUGAGAUGUUGGGUUAAGUCCCGCAACGAGCGCAACCCUUAUUGUUAGUUGCCAUCAUUCAGUUGGGCACUCUAGCAAGACUGCCGGUGACAAACCGGAGGAAGGUGGGGAUGACGUCAAAUCAUCAUGCCCCUUAUGACCUGGGCUACACACGUGCUACAAUGGGAAGUACAACGAGUUGCGAAGUCGCGAGGCUAAGCUAAUCUCUUAAAGCUUCUCUCAGUUCGGAUUGCAGGCUGCAACUCGCCUGCAUGAAGCCGGAAUCGCUAGUAAUCGCGGAUCAGCACGCCGCGGUGAAUACGUUCCCGGGCCUUGUACACACCGCCCGUCACACCACGAGAGUUUGUAACACCCGAAGUCGGUGAGGUAACCUUUU